GUUCCCAAUGAUGCUUGAAAUUUUAAACCAUGCCUAAUGCUGAUAAUCCAGUGAUUAUAAAGUAUCAUUGAUAUAUUCUGAGGGAACU